CGUGAUAGAUAAGAUAAUAAGUAUUCGUUACUUUGUGGAUGCCAUAUUUGUCGUGUUUUGUAAUCCCAAUCAUUCCCACUAAGUGUUGUGCUCCAGGGUGUAGAACGGGAUAGGACAACGAGCCACAACAGUCUGGUGUUACGAUCCAUCUGUGGCCAAACAAAGAGAAAAAUCCUGGACUUGAUACCGCCUGGCUGAGAGCCAUUCCAAGAGAAACAGAUAUGAAGAAGACAGAUUAGGUACCAUUCAAAAGUGUAAAGAUGUGUUCCCUGCAUUUCAACGACUUUCAGACCCUUGGCAAGGCUCUAAAGAAGAGAUACCUCAAACCAGAUGUAGUACCAUCCCUAUGGCAAAACUAUCCCAACUACCUCUCAAAUCCAAAGCGUCAUCAAGGCCAACUCAAGCUUCGACCACGUCAUAUAGGGCUCAACAGUUCAAUAACCUACAACAGCAUCGGAAAUUUUAACUCUUGAUUGAGGAGUCAGUCCUCUCUGUGGAAGAAUUUGGUUACAAAUUGGCCAAGAAGACACUCCCAAUCAGACUUUUUCUCUCACCCUAAACCCAAGUGUUGCCCUUUUGAAGCUAUCCCAUGAUAAGAAAUUGGGCUCCCAAGUAGUAGCCAGCAUCCAGUUUGAGACAAAUAUGCUAUUCAAAAUGUACCACUCUGGUGUGUUGAUUGACCAAAACAUAGUGUCACACAUCACCUCAGAAGGCAAGAUCAACACUGUGAUUCAAGCCAUCAAUUUGGCUUCCUUUCUGGGAGCAAAAGAAGAAUUGAAUCAAACAAAAACCUCGGAAGACAUUCUCAACAAGUUAGUGAAGUUUUUCAACUCCUCAGAGAUUGAACCUACACAAGCUUCAAAGCUCUCUUUCAUUCUUGAGCAAAUGGCUCUCCUUUUCACCAAACCAACAUCUGAAAAAUAUUCACCCUCUCUUCUUUCAACCGCAAUCAUGUGGGAGAAUGUGAGCUUAGGACUCUAUCUACAGAGCUGCUCAUCUAAUUUGGUGACCCUACCAACCCAAAGACACCUGGAAAGUGUUGCUGCUCCAGUAAGUGUUGAGUCUGGUCUACCGUCAUCCUCAAUCACUUAUCUAAAAACCAAAAUCAAAGGCCUCAGCUGACGAGAGAGGAAUGUCACCCUGAUGAUAAAUGAAGUGUACUCAGCUCAGGGAGUGGAAUUCGUCAAGGGAAAGUUUAUGGGUUGAGAGAACAAUCAAGCCACCAAAACAGUUGUUACCUUCACCAUUAAGUCAGCUGGACGCAAGUACAUGGAUAUUGUUGCGCUGGUACCUGUGUGUCCAAUUUGACAGCUCAGUUUCCUCAUGUUCAGUAUGAAGUUGUUAUGAAAGCACUCUAGGAAGUGGGAUUCACGGUAGCGUCACUUUCAGUAGAUAACCAUACCGCCAACCGCAAGUUCUACGAGAAACUGCUUUAUAAUGGCGAACUGAAGACUCAUCCUCAUGAAGAAACAAAGAAAAUUCACCUGCUGUUUGACCCAGUGCACAACCUCAAAAACAUCUACAACUGCUUCCAACGGGCGGAGGUACUCGAUUGCCAUCAACACUUGGAAGAUCCGAGACUCUCAGACCAAAUUUCCCCCACCUCAGUGAGAUUUACUUCAAGGAGUCUCACUUCAAAGUCAAAGAGGGACAAAAAUUUACCUUCAAAGCAUUGAACCCUACAAACGUGGAGAAGAUCAAUGUGAAAUUAGCUGAUGCUGUGUUUCACGAAUCACCAAUUGAAGUACUACUCCAAAGAAGACAACAGACCGGAGUUUAAAGAUACAGCAUAAUUUUCAGAGUUAGUCAGAACUAUGUGGAAUAUCCUAAACGUCACGACACUUGGAGUUGGCUAGGAAAGGAGAGAUGAGCUUCGGGAACCAAUCUCUGAGAAGAACAAACUUGGCCUCUCUUUUCUGAGAGAUUUUGUCGACUUUCUCAUCGAGUGGCAAAACAGUAAAGUACCUGCAACAAAGCAGACGUGCCUUGCCGCAACAGAUCUGUUAGAGUAUCUCUCCUAGAUGAAGACUUUUCCUAUGUACUCCUCGUCAUGUUCCAGUCUGGUCCCAUCGAAAGAAGUUUCGGCUGGUACAGACAACUAAGUGGAGGUAUCUACUACAUCAGCGUGAAACAGAUCCUGGAAGCAGAGAAAAAUAUUCGUAUUCUGAGUCUUGUCAAAUUCUCAGGUAUGACUACUUCAGAAAUUAAAGCUCUGCUGGAAGAAGACCUUGUAAAAGGUGAGCUCAUUUUGACUAACUGUCAACCAGAUGACCUCCAGGAACUAGCUUCUAAGGGAGAGUAAUACUCUCUACUUUGUUGCCGGGUUUAUUGGUUUUUCUUUGAAGAAGAAGAUCAGCCAAGAGUUAAUCAGAGACAUACCUCCAGACUCAAUAAGCUUCGAUAUCCCAACCAAUCAGCAUUUAGAUCUGAAAGAGUUCAUCGACAGAAUGAGUAGAGGGGGGUUGUCGACUCCAUCCGACCUUCUCUACCUCUUCUGUCUUUAUGCUCACUCCAUGUUCUCUUACAUCACAGCUACUCCUGAAGAGAAAGACAGUUACUUGGCACCCCAAAUCCUAGAGCUUCAUUUGUUGCCACAUUCCUUGACAAGAUGCAGGACAGUUUAAACUCUGACAUUAUCGCUGUUGUGGGAGUAAAGUGCGAGGAAGGACACUCUUGGUCAGCUUCUCUUCAAAUAAUUUCAUUCACUUUGUUUAAUGUCAUGGGUAAAAAUUUAAGUGCUAGACUGAAUGAUGACAUACGAAUUUUAACAAAAAAGAGAAUGGCAGCUAAGAAUGUAGAAACUGAUAGAAAAAAAAAACUAAAUUUCAAUCAAAAUCUUCUGACUUGUAAACUUGGACCAACUAUGUACUUUUUGAUAGUCCCGGUUUUUAAUGAUUUUCCCUAACAAAAUGUCAUGAUCAAUAUCUAUUUCACUUUAUGGAUCCCCGUAUCCAUACUAUUUAGCUUUUUAAGUCGUUUGAAAACUAAAAAAAAUGGGGGGAAUGUACACUUUAUUUUUCCUGAGCUCCUUUUGUACAUUUUAUUCAUUAAGAGCCUUCAACACAAUGUAAAACGGGACAUGUAGACCCAUACUUUUUUUUAAUGAUUCAUGGAAAUGAUACAGUUGGUCGUGAAAUAAUUAAAAAAAAAAGACAGGCAAAUGAAUGAAUGAAUUUGCUUUACAAAGAACGCUUCAUUAGCUCAUCUCUCUUUUUGAAGAGGUCAUUAAAAUUUAGAGACUCAUUUUCACCCUACAGUAGAACAGCAGUCAACAGGAAUGAAUUCCAAGAAGAUAACCAGUACCCACAUUCUUAGGUAAAGGUAAUAUUUUUUAUUAAAGGAUUUUUGAUGCUUGCUUGAAAAAGAUUAUGACUAUAACAUUACGAUCAAUUAGUUAGUUAAGUAUUUUGGCUCAAUUUUAACAGUGUUCACUGUUAAAUUAAGGUUUAUAUUUUUGAUUCAUAUGAUAUAUGGAAAUGAUUGUUUGUUCAAAUCUUCACCCUCUUUAAGUAUGGAUCUAAAUUGAUUUAGACUAAAAUAUACAAUAAAUUCUUAUUUAAAUCUCAA
rnacentral:lncRNA from 1 species